GAUGAACGCUGGCGGCGUGCCUAAUACAUGCAAGUCGAGCGAACGGACGAGAAGCUUGCUUCUCUGAUGUUAGCGGCGGACGGGUGAGUAACACGUGGAUAACCUACCUAUAAGACUGGGAUAACUUCGGGAAACCGUAGCUAAUACCGGAUAAUAUUUUGAACCGCAUGGUUCAAAAGUGAAAGACGGUCUUGCUGUCACUUAUAGAUGGAUCCGCGCUGCAUUAGCUAGUUGGUAAGGUAACGGCUUACCAAGGCAACGAUGCAUAGCCGACCUGAGAGGGUGAUCGGCCACACUGGAACUGAGACACGGUCCAGACUCCUACGGGAGGCAGCAGUAGGGAAUCUUCCGCAAUGGGCGAAAGCCUGACGGAGCAACGCCGCGUGAGUGAUGAAGGUCUCCGGAUCGUAAAACUCUGUUAUUAGGGAAGAACAUAUGUGUAAGUAACUGUGCACAUCUUGACGGUACCUAAUCAGAAAGCCACGGCUAACUACGUG
rnacentral:rRNA from 1 species